GGGAAAGGCUGAGGGAUCAGAUGAUGGGGGAAGGUGUCUCCACACCGGCUGUACCUACCUCUCCGCACUGGGCCCGGGCAGGGUUUAUGGUGUAGAAGUGUCGGCGUCGGCGCAAUGUACUAAGGAAUCGCCGCGAGUAUUUCGGACGCCGGUGGAGUCGCCGCUCAGGACUGGAACCCUUUUGCUUAUUAUUUCUGCGCUUCAGCGAAUCCCAAAAAAGAGGAAUUUUAUGUUUAUGGGGAGACGUCGCGGGAAGCGGAGCCCGAGGGGGAGGAGCCCCGGGUACAAUAAAAUCCACACAGACAUGGGGAGAAUAAAAAAAUAGACUCCAGACAGAUUGUGACUGAAACCCAAGGUCCUACAAAAAAAUGUGAAAGAACCUAUAGAUCCAACAUUGAUUGUAUCCUGGUCAGAAUCGAACCCAAGGCUUCACACCAACACAUGGAAAACUGAACAACUUCUCAUGGAUUCUGGUUUGAACUGAACCCAAGGCCCUUGGGAGGAUACACAGACCCCGGUGAGUCUCAAACCUACCACAUCGGCAGCCAUGCUGGUCUUCUUCUUCCUUCUGCUCUUCAGGUUUUUACUACUAUUUUUUAAUUUUGCCCAAAAAUGUUUCUGCCUCCAUGCAAUAAAGGAAUAUUUUUUUUUUU